rnacentral:rRNA from 1 species
UACAGAGGGGGCAAGCGUUAUUCGGAAUUAUUGGGCGUAAAGGGCGCGUAGGCGGCCUCUGCAAGUCGACUGUGAAAUCUCCGGGCUUAACCCGGAAAGGUCAGCCGAUACUGCAGGGCUAGAGUGCAGAAGGGGCAACUGGAAUUCUCGGUGUAGCGGUGAAAUGCGUAGAUAUCGAGAGGAACACCUGCGGCGAAGGCGGGUUGCUGGGCUGACACUGACGCUGACAGCGCGAAAGCUAGGGGAGCGAACGGG